rnacentral:tRNA from 1 species
AUUAAAGUGGCAGAUUAGUGCUAGGAAUUUAAGCUUCCUGUAUGAAGAAUUCCUUUAAUA